ensembl:lncRNA
AUUAAUAAGGUUAGAGUUAAUUGAAAAAUUAGAAAACAUAGAAAACAGUUCUUUUCCUAUGUCUAGUAGGUUGGAAAACAAGUUGUCCUCUCCUGUUAUUAGCAACAGUAAUAAUACUGAUGAUGUAAUAACAAGUGAAACAUAUGACAAGGAUAAUAGAUUUUUUAAUAGUUCUAAUAUGUUAAAAAAAAUAAAUAAAAAGCUAAAUAUAGUGGUGAAAGUUAAAAUAACAUCAAAAGGUAAAGAUUUUUUAAAUAUGGAAAAAGAAAAAAUGGAGAAAGAAAUAAAAACAGGAAAUUCAGAUAUAGGUAUUGUAAAUGAUGGAUCUAAAGCAGAUAAUAAAAUAAACUCAGAAAAUGAGAGUUUUAAAAGUAUGGAAUACACAUCAACAAAAAUAAACGAAUCAAAAGAACUAAAAAAGGAAAUAAUAUAUAAUGAUGAAGAAAAAUAUGGUGAUAAAAAAUGUGAUGAAAAAGAUUAUUCGCUUAGUUAUUCAUCAUAUAGUGAUUAUUACAUAUCAUUUGAAACGUCUUGUAACAAAGAACUAAAUGAUUUUAGUAAUAAAAAACGAAGUGUUUUAGAAAUGAAAAAAUAUAACACGAAGUAUAAUUAUAUGAUUAGUAGUGGCAUUGAUAGUUGUAGUCCCAACAUAACUAACAUAUGUGAUGGUGAUAACGAUAUAAAAAGAUAUAAUGAAGAUUCAUAUAUAACCGUUGACAAUGACAAAAAUGGAAACAAUGGCAAUCUUAAUUUAUCAUUAAAAAUGGAUAUAAAAAAAAAUGAAAUACUUGAAAACUUAAAAUUAGAUUUCAAAGAAAGGUUAGAAAAAAAAAAAAAAAAAAUUAUGAAUAAUACAUUAAAUAAUGGUUGUACUGAAAAUAUGUUAAGCAAUCAUAUAUCUCAGAAUAAAAACAUUACAAAUGAUGAACAAUUAAAUAAUAAUAGAACUGGUCAAAAUUUAAGCGUAUAUACUUUGCAAUGUAAUAAAUUUAAAAAUGACGAAAAAUGUGAUGAACAGUGUUAUGAACAACUUGAUGAAAAGGAUCGUUGUUAUUUAGUAUAUGAAUAUACACCUAACCAUGUUAAUAAAAAUAAGGUCGAAGAUAAUACUAAUAAAAAAACUUAUUCUAAUAACUACAAUACCGAACAUACAUGUGAUGGCUAUAAUAACGAAACGAAUAAGGAUGAAAAUGUUGGUGAUGAUAUACAUAAUGAUAAAAAUUACAGUACUGUUUAUAAUAGUAGUAGUAUUACUGGCAAUAGUAGUAGUAUUACUGGUAAUAGUAGUAGUAUUACUGGCAAUAGU